rnacentral:rRNA from 1 species
AAGCCAUGCAUGUCUAAGUAUAAGCAAUUAUACAGUGAAACUGCGAAUGGCUCAUUAAAUCAGUUAUAGUUUAUUUGAUGAUGCUUGCUACAUGGAUAACUGUGGUAAAUCUAGAGCUAAUACAUGCGUUAUAAGCCCCGACUUCGGAAGGGGUGUAUUUAUUAGGUAAAAUCCAUCGGCCUCGGCCUUUGGGGAGUCAUAAUAACUGCACGAAUCGCAUGGCCUUGCGCCGGCGAUGCUUCAUUCAAAUAUCUGCCCUAUCAACUUUCGAUGGUACGGUAGUGGCCUACCAUGGUUGCAACGGGUAACGGGGAAUAAGGGUUCGAUUCCGGAGAGGGAGCCUGAGAAACGGCUACCACAUCCAAGGAAGGCAGCAGGCGCGCAAAUUAUCCAAUCCCGACACGGGGAGAUAGUGACAAAAAAUAACAAUACAGGGCUUUCAUAGGUCUUGUAAUUGGAAUGAGUACAAUUUAAAUCCCUUAACGAGGAACAAUUGGAGGGCAAGUUUGGUGCCAGCAGCCGCGGUAAUUCCAACUCCAAUAGCGUAUAUUAAAGUUGUUGCAGUUAAAAAGCUCGUAGUUGAACUUGGGCCCUGGCUGGGCGGUCCGCCUAACGGCGAGUACUGCCUUUCGGCUGGGGCUUAUCCUCUUGUGUGAACCCGGUCGUACUUUGUGCGGUCGGGGGACCAGGGAAAUUACUUUGAAAAAAUUAAAGUGUUCAAAGCAGGCCUAUCGGCUCGAAUAGAUUAACAUGGAAUAAGGGAACAGGGACGUUUCCGGUCCCCCUUUC